GCCAAUGUGGUUUAGUGGUUUGAGUGUUGGAGUGCAACUCUGGAGACCAGAGUUCAAUUCCCUGCUUGACC